GACGAACGCUGGCGGCGUGCUUAACACAUGCAAGUCGAACGGUAAGGCCCUUUCGGGGGUACACGAGUGGCGAACGGGUGAGUAACACGUGGGUGAUCUGCCCUGCACUUUGGGAUAAGCCUGGGAAACUGGGUCUAAUACCGGAUAGGACUACGCGAUGCAUGUCGUGUGGUGGAAAGCUUUUGCGGUGUGGGAUGGGCCCGCGGCCUAUCAGCUUGUUGGUGGGGUGAUGGCCUACCAAGGCGACGACGGGUAGCCGGCCUGAGAGGGUGUCCGGCCACACUGGGACUGAGAUACGGCCCAGACUCCUACGGGAGGCAGCAGUGGGGAAUAUUGCACAAUGGGCGCAAGCCUGAUGCAGCGACGCCGCGUGGGGGAUGACGGCCUUCGGGUUGUAAACCCCUUUCAGCACAGACGAAGCGUAAGUGACGGUACGUGCAGAAGAAGCACCGGCCAACUACGUG
rnacentral:rRNA from 1 species